GAUGAAGAACGCAGCGAAAUGCGAUAAGUAAUGUGAAUUGCAGAAUUCAGUGAAUCAUCGAAUCUUUGAACGCACAUUGCGCCCGCCAGUAUUCUGGCGGGCAUGCCUGUCUGAGCGUCAUUUCAACCCUCAAGCAACUUCUGCUUGGUGUUGGGGAUCGGCCGUCAAACGCCGCCCCCGAAAUCUAUUGGCGAUCUCGCUGUAGCUUCCUAUGCGUAGUAGUAACAUCUCGCAUCUGGAGAGCGGCGCGGUCAUGCCGUAAAACACACAACUUCUCAGGUUGACCUCAGAUCAGGUAGGAAUACCCGCUGAACUUAAGCAUAUCAAUAAGCGGAGGA
rnacentral:misc_RNA from 1 species